AGUGAACGCUGGCGGUAGGCCUAACACAUGCAAGUCGAACGGCAGCACAGUAAGAGCUUGCUCUUACGGGUGGCGAGUGGCGGACGGGAGAGGAAUACAUCGGAAUCUACUUUUUCGGGGGGGAUAACGAAGGGAAACUUACGCUAAUACAGCAUACGACCUACGGGUGAAAGCAGGGGAUCUUCUGACCGUGCGCGGUUGAAUGAGCCGAUGUCGGAUUAGCUGGUUGGCGGGGUAAAGGCCAACGAAGGCGACGAUCCGUAGCUGGUCUGAGAGGCUGGUCGGCCACCCUGGAGCUGAGCCGCGGUCCAGACUCCUACGGGAGGCCGCAGUGGCGAAUGUUGGGCAGUGGGCGCGAGCCUUGUCCAGCCGUCCCGCGUGGGUGGAGACGGCCUUCGGGUUGUAAUGCCCUCUUUUUGGGAAAGAAAAGCAGCAGGUUAAUACCACGCUGUUCUGACGGUACCCAAUGAAUAAGCACCGGCUAACUUCGUG
rnacentral:rRNA from 1 species